rfam:Homo sapiens chromosome 17, GRCh38 reference primary assembly.
GCCAGGUGGGGUGGUGCAUGCCUGUAGUCCCAGCUACUAAGGAGGCUGAGGCAGGAGGAUCGCCUGGGCCCAGGAGGUCUAGGGUGCAGUGAGCCAUGAUCAUGCCACUGCACUCUGGCCUGGGUGACAGAGCAAGACCUUGUCUCAA